rnacentral:ribozyme from 1 species
UUGGUGGUGCUAAGCUACUAGGCAAAUCAUUCUGGUGAUGAUUAAUUAUGAUGUUUCUCUAUACCCAACCAUUCUCCUCAUCUAUUUUUUUUUCAUAAUAUUACAAACGA